UUCUCCUGUCUCUCCUUCACCCGCUUUCUUUGCUGGACCUGGCUGAAAUAGGAGCAAAUUAGUCUCAUUUUGGAAAAGACAGAACAUGCACAAAGGACCCCCCUGAAAGGUUUCCAGUGCUCUGUUCCCGGAUGCGUUGCAGUCAGUGUAAUUACCUGAUGUGGAAAAAGAGGCAUGGACGUGGCCCUGUGAAAGGACCAUCUCUUUUCAGCAUGGGGCAGGAGCCAAACUGUACCCUGGAACACCUACAGAUAUCAUUGGUUUGACCUGGACAAGAACUCAGAGGCGGGUAAGUAGAUGGCACACAUCGGUUAUAUCAGUUCAUGCUUUGUCAGAGGUCUCCAGAUUAUUCAGUCUCAUUAGAGACCUUUUGCAUGAAUACAGUGAUC
rnacentral:lncRNA from 1 species